ACGGCCGUACCAUGCUGAAUAUACCGGUUCUCGUUAGAUCACCGAAGUCAAGCAUCAUUGGGCGCGGUCAGUACUUGGGUGGAUGACCAUCUGGGAACACCGCGUGCCGUU
rnacentral:rRNA from 1 species